UUUAUACAGGCAUGUAACAUGAAAUAGCUUAUUGCUUUUUAAGAGAGGUUGUAGACUUUAUGAUAGGUAGGGUUGGCUCAGGUGGAGAGGAUGUCUCAGAGGUCGAACACAGAAGCUGGUGAACAGCUUGGCAUGACCAAAGUGGAAGGAAGGUAGGGGUUGGAAAUAAAGUUGGAGCACCUACAGAACAAGGAAGUAGCUGAACAGAAUGAAGCAAAAAAUAAGAAGGUAUAGAAGGUUCUCUGUGAUGAAGAAAGAUUAUGAGGAGGAAGCAAAACUGUCAAGUCACCCAGGAGACUAUUAUGGUAAUCCAAGAGAGAGAAACAGGGCUUGGACUGGAAUGGUCAUACCGGAAGAGCAGCAGGGAGGAAAACAGGAUGGUUAUCAGCACUCAACUAGGAAUAAAGAAAAAAAAGAAGAGUGAAUAAAAAUAACUUUAAGGUUUUAUAUUUCAAUGAUAUUAAAAAAUGGUGGUCAUUGACAGAAAUACAAAUUACAUGUGAAAGUCAGAUGGAAAGUAAAAACACAUUGCUUUAUAUGUGGUAAGUCUGAAGUGGUGGCAAAUGAUGUUUAUUUUAGUUAAUUGAAGAUACUUUUUUAUAUAAAAAGCCAAUACAUAAAAAUAUAAUAUUUCUCUUUGGGUAUGUUAGGAAGAGUAAGACAUUUAGAAUUUGGAGUCCUUAAUUCAAAUCUUAGGUCUACCAAAUUCUGGAUGUCUGAUCCCUGGCCUCAGUUUUCUCAUCUGUAAACUGAGUUAAUAAUGAUAAUUAUAUUUACACACACACAUAUGAAACAGAGUAAUUCUAAGGACUAAAAUGAAAAUGUUUUUGAAAGCACUAUUUGCAUAGCAAUAUUACUUAUUAUAGCACCAGAUAGUCCCCCUUUUUAUGAGCGAGGACUAAAAGAAAUACCCUUACUACUCAAAAGAUUUAAAAUGUCCGUGAAGGUAUCAUAUGAACUCGUUGUUUUUAAUAUAUGCACAGACAGAUAUAGAAACAAAUACAUAGAGUUGUGUGUUGUGUAUAUACAUACAUAUAUUUCCUACCUCAUUUCACUUAGAGGGCCUAGAAGCAAGGAUACUUCAGUAGUAAUGAGCAAACCUAGCCUACAUCUUGGUUUCCAAAUAUAAUUUUCCAAGAGAAGAAAAUAUAACUUGUUGGGAAAAUGGCUGAUAUGAGUAAGAACAGGCUCAGAAAAAUGGUGAGGAAUGUUGCCCUGAAGCAGCUCUCACUGACUGAAUACAGAGAAGUUUGAGCAGCAAAAUAACAAUAAAAAUAAAUAAUAACUCAUGGAAUAAAAGAAAUAUCUAUGGGUCUUUAGUAAUAGAAAUAAAUAAUUGAAUAAAUAAGUAAAUUAAUGGAGGAGGAGGGACAGACUUUUUUAUAGUAGAAUUUCAUUGAAUAAAUCUAGAAGAAAUAUGGAAAUUAUAAAUAGCACAAGGGCAAUCAGCAAUCUAGCUUGUGUUCAAACUAUCAAAAAUUGUAUUAGCAAACUCUUCAAUUUUAGAAUUCUGUAAAAAUUAACCCAUUGUUUUUAAGUCAUCAUAGAGGGAAAAACUUGAGACACAAUUGCCUUUUAUAAUUUAGAAUGACUUUUGCUGUCUCUUGAACUCCCAGGUGUAUUUAGAAAAAAGAUUAUGUUAUGGAAUUGCCAUUUUUAGGUGUUUAUUCUAAAGAUAAAAUGGAAUUACAAGUGCAGAACAGAAUUUUUUUUAAACGUAUGUCUGUAAGUUUUACAUAAAUAAUUAUUUGAGGAGAUGGCACAUGCAAGGAACUUCUAUAUAGUAUACUAAAUGUUAUAAACAAACCUAUCAGAACACCAUUUUGUUCAUGAUAGUACUAUUUUUCAAAUAUUUGAAGUUGGCCUUUUAAACUCUAUGUCUGCAUGAUACUGAACGUUGUACUUUUGAGAUAUAUAAUAUUGGCAUUGAUGCAAUGCAUUUCUUAUUUUAUCAUUUUAUUCUUGAUUCUUUUUGAGUAAAAUAAAUUUAAAAGACCCUUUUUUGAGGUAAUGGGUGGAAAGUAGAUUUUAAAAAUUUUGUUGAUGAUAUUAACUACAUGAUAUUUAAAAUAACAAUUGCAACUGACAUUCAUUGACCACUUUCUAUCUCCCUUCUGGUUUGCAAAAUUAUAACUUUAUUCAGUUUGAAUUACUUAGAUAACUGUCUAUUCUUCCACUUCUUUUUGCCAUGAGUCUGUGCAGGUAUCUGUAUAAUAUGCUCUUUCUGUUUCAGUGUUAAUAAUUUUUUAACUGAGAUCCACUAUUUUCCACUUUGAACUAGGGUUCAGUAGGAUGAAAACUAACUUUGUCUUUUACUUAUCACACUUGAUUCUCUUAAUAAUUUCCAUAAGCAGGCAGCUGCUCUUCACAUACAGAUAGUACUCUUAAAACUAACAAAUCACUCCCUUGGUCCCUCCUAAAAAGACACUCCAUUUCUCAUUUUAAUUAACUUUGCUACAGCAUGCCCAAACUCAGUACAAUUUUUUCUUCUGUUUUCUUUGUCUUUAAUAUUGUCUUUAAUAUUUCACUUGUCUCUAUCAAUUUGUCUUGGUAAAUAUUUAUAUAUGUAAUAUCUGUUCACUUUUGAAAACGAAAUUCUCAGUUUUAGUCAAGCGUAAUGAUACUACAAGUUGAGCGAACUGUGAUCAAAGAGCAUGAUAAUUCCUGUAUGAAUGCUCCAUGCAUGUUCUUUACAUAACUAAGCAGUAUAGUGACAACUGAGUGUGUUUACCUGGGAGAACUUUAGGUAUUUUCCCUAAGCCCAUGUACUUUGAGGUCUUAAUGUGCAAGAUGAGAACAACAUCUGGCCUGGAACAGCCUAAUUCCCUGAUGGCCUAGGAUUUGACAAGCUUGUUAUGUGCCUAAUAACCAUAGGUUUCUAUAUCACAUCACCCUUGCCUAAGACACAAUAGAUACUCUACUGAUCCUAGAUAUCCAAUUACUAUUUUUGUGUCCUAAACUUAAACUUCAAAUUUGUCGCAAGUUAGUCUUCUGAAUCAAACCUAAUGAGAAGUUUCCUUAAGCAACGAAUAGAUUGUAUCAAGGCAGAAACAGUUAUUUGAGAAUGAAACAGAACCAGAGCUUUGAACACCUUGCUUAUAGCUAUUUUCAAUUUUGUAAAUUAACAAGGAGAUUAAAGAUAUUGUGAAGAAUGAGAUAAAAAAAAUUCUGGAAAAAUAUUUGUAUCUUCCUUUGUACCAUUUAUAUUUAAAUGUUAAUGUACUGUGUUUCAAUCUCAAAAUCACACAAAUGUUUAAAAAUGAUGACAGCUUUUAAUGAAUAGUUUUAUUAACUACUAAUCCUGCUGUUUUCAAUUCAAAUUUCUUAGUCUUUGGAAGGCUUGAAACUUUUCUCUUGGAUACCUGACAUCUACUACUUUAGGCUGGCAAUCCUCUGUCAUUACUCCUAUCUGCACUGUUUUCCUUUCCCCUUCAUCUUGAGCCUUGUUCACACUCAGUGCCUGCUGGUGGCAUGUUUAGCUGCCCUGAAGCUUAGCCUCUGUAACUUUCCUGUUCUCUUUCGAUUUGACUUUGAUGAAUGUCACUUAAGCUCCUACGUGAGAAAACUGUACACACCAGUGACCCAGGCAUCUGAAUUGUCCGGGAAUAGACUGCAUUACUAAAAUCUAGGUUCUAUUCCUUGUUAGACAUAUUAGCGUCCCAAUGGCUAUAAAAUAUUUGAUCCCUGAUAUCUGUAGGUUUCUCUUGUUUGAAAGCUGCUAAAAAGCAUGCACAUCAUUGGAAUGCAAAAGUAAAACAAGAAGUAGAAGUGUGAAGCUCAUUUAGACUUUUAAAAACUGGUCUAAGUGAUUGUGGCACGUCAAAGUACUUUAUAGACUCCUAAGUGGAGACAAACCUGUAAAACAGAACACCAAAGGCACAACUCUGUUUCAAUAAGCAGUAUAUUGUAACUGAGUUUAAAGCCCCCUAACAUUCCUGUACACUAAAGCACAGUAGAUUUAAAUGGGAUCUUUGUGAUUCCACAUAUCCUAAAGAAGCAGUUUUUCUCUGUGUGAGACCACAUGGAUUUUCAUAGAAGAUUCAGGGAUGAAAACACAUCCGGGCAAGAUAUAAGAGUGAAAUGUAUAGACAAAAGGAUUAAGGAUUCAAAGGCUUUUUUCUUCUUUUUCCCCUUUCCCUCUUUGAACUCAACUAUCAUUUAGAGCCACAGAAUGGAUAGGUCAAGAGUUUGACCGAACAGAGUUGUAAAGUCAACUAGGAAAAUAUUUUUACCAUAUAAAAGAAAAAAUAGAAUACUAUCCUGAGAUGUCACAACUAUCAGACCAUAGGGUGUAAUGCAACUUGAUUAGAGGUUUAUUUUUUCUAAUUAGCUCAUUUUGGAGUAGAUUCUUUGAGAAUACUCAUCCUUGGAAUUGUUAUGAUAUGAUGUAUAUGCAUAUAUGUACGUAUGUGGACAUAUUUAUCUAUAUUCUAUACAGAUCUAUUUAUCAAAAUGCAUUUCCAUUUUUAUGUUUGAAUAAUGACUCUCCCUUCACUUUUUUCUCCCAGAGUUUUCAACGUAUUGAAUUUACAGUAUUGCAGUUUUACGGUAGUACGUACUUCAAAUGUACUUAAGGGAAUGAUCAUUUGAAGAUUUGGCUAAGGGAUAGAUCCUUUAAAUAAAUAUGUGAAGUUGAUAGAAAGUUUUUUAGAUUAAAGAGUACUGAAAUUUAAAGUAUAGACUUAUUUCACAGAACUACUUUGUACCCUCGAACUAUACCAUGUGCAUAAUGGUAGCUUCUCAUCCAGACAGAGUCCAUGAGAUGAUGACUCUAACAGGAACAUGGGAUCUGACAUUAGAUCUGUGGGUUGAGUGGAGAGAACUGAUCUAGAGUAGAUCAUACUGGGUCCUACAGGGUAUCCAGGCAUGAUAUCACAUAGUUGCUUCAUCCGCAAUGUAUGAAACAGUCAACAUUGGGGUUCUCACUCCAGCAGGGGGAUACAGCAAUGGGGAAUUCCAGCAGCCAUCAAUACUUGGGAAUUAAGCAAAGAGGGGCUGAUCAUUGGUUUUUGGCCAUCAUGAUACUACCCGCUGAUAUUGAUUAUGGGACAAGGCUUCAGUAUUGGGAAAGAAAAAUGUUGUGAUGAUUCUACCUUGGGAGAUGGUACUUACAAACCUCUCUAUGGCAGCCCUCCAGCUGGGGAGAUGUACUAGAGUUUUGGUCAUCCAGGCCAAAUUUACAAGCAAGAGUUAAUCCUCUUCACUGACACCAGGAAAAGGAAAAUGGAGUUAUAUUUUGAGGGCAACUUAAUUUUUGGUUGUUUCUAGAUAUAGAUGAAGGUAUAAGGACUUGUUCCUAAAUGGUUAGUAAGGUAGGAGAACAGGAAAGCAUAGUUUUCUGAAGAUAACUUCAUUGUGAGUCAACAUUAGAUGAAAGUAAAAAAAAAGUUUGACCUUUUAUUCUGAAAUUAGAGGUGAAUGGAGACAACAGGUGAGAUGUAUCAAGGGAUCCAGGCAUGAGAAACAGAUCCUGAGAAGAAUAAGAGCAUAUAGGCUCUAUACUCAACUUUUUUACAAUGAUUUAUUAUAUUAUUGAAUUCUCACAAUGGGGUAGAUAUUCUUAAUCUCAUUUUUUAGGGGAGAAAAAUUAUGUUUGAAAAGGUUCAUUUAUUUUUACUCCAAAUUUUAUGGCAAUAAAUACCUUGUGUGACAGACUCCAGAUGCCAGAUUCCAAAACUCAUGCCUUUUCUCUAAAUCAUGCUGGUCUAUGCCACCACAUAAUAUCUGAUUUGUAGUAUUUUUAACUUAAAUUGUAGGAUGGAUAAUAAACAAAACUUAGAUCCAUCCGAUUCAAAAAGAGAAAAAAGAAUUGAGUUGAGAAAAAAUAAUCAUAGCUAGCUUCCUGUGCAAUGCUAUAUACAAGACACUGUCUUAAGUACUUAAGAUGCAGCGACUUAUUUAAUCUGUUCACAACACCAUGAGGUAGAAACAAUUAUAACUCCCUUUUGUCAAAUGAAAAAAGGUUUAAGAAGGAAGGAAGAGGUAAGACUUUAGACGACCUGAAUCUGUGCUUCUUUAACUGACCUUAUAAUACUCUAAAGGACAGUAGAUGGGAUGAAAAAUAUGUAUCACCAAGUUACACAAAAAUAUUUCUAACCUUUCAAGGAACAGACAAACAAAAUGGAGGGGAGUCUCUGAAGAAUUAUCAUGUAGUUUACGCUACAGCAAGGUCUCUAAUAAUAAAAUCACAGGAAGAAGAAGGACAGAAGAGCUAGAGUUAUCAAGUGCUGAAACUGUCUAUACUACUAGCAUCUCCAAUGAUCAAAACAGCAUCAAGGCCGGUAUCUAAGUCUUAGAUGUCAUCAAGAGGAAUCUCUUGUAACAGUGAAGGAGAGGUGAGGUAGAUUCCGACCCAAGGUAUCAUAUGAUUGGCUAGUUUGGAGUUAGUUUAUUAAACUGCAAUGAAAGUAGCUCUAAAAUUUCCUGAAAGUUUUUUUGUUUGUUUAUUUGUUUUUUUUUUUUGUUUUUCACUGCAAGCAUAGAGAGAACUCAAGGACAAAAUUCAAAGUAAAAUGAAAAAGGAAGGCUACUGAGGUAUUACCGACGACAAACAUGAAAAGUUGGGCAGUGCGUAGAGGUCUCUGAAUGCCUCUUCUGCUCUGCUGAACAGUGAGGUCAAGGUAUCUGGAAGACACAUUUAUACUACAGGAAAAUUGAUCCCCCCUUAUCUUAGUGCAGAAUAAUAAUAAACUAAACUAUAUCAAGUUCCAGAGCAAGGAUAAAAAAACCUUCUACCUUAUCAGAGAUGGUUUUUAACACUUGAUCUCCAGAUCAGCUAAAAUCGAAUGUUAUUAAAAUAGAAAGGGCAUAUUUCAGUAAAAUUGACAUUUUAAAAUGUCAGUGGUUAAUGAAAGCCACAGUCUCUCUUAUUGAUAAUUCUUUUUUUUAGGGAGAAUUUAGGACAAAAUUAAACUGUCAUGACAUACUUUCUGGUCUACUAAAUAUAACAUGACCUUUGUAUUUAGUAAAACUUGACAAAAUCAGAUAAGAACUUUGCCAUGUAGUUUGAGUU